rnacentral:rRNA from 1 species
CCUACGGGUGGCAGCAGUGAGGAAUAUUGGUCAAUGGCCGUAAGGCUGAACCAGCCAAGUAGCGUGAAGGAAGACUGCCCUAUGGGUUGUAAACCUCUUUUAUGCGGGGAUAAAGGUGUCCACGUGUGGCUGUUUGCAGGUACCGCAUGAAUAAGGACCGGCUAAUUCCGUGCCAGCAGCCGCGGUAAUACGGAGGGUCCGGGCGUUAUCCGGAUUUAUUGGGUUUAAAGGGUGCGUAGGCCGGUCUUUAAGCGUGCCGUGAAAUUUUGGGGCUCAACCAUGAGAGUGCGGCGCGAACUGGAGACCUUGAGUGUGCUGAAGGCAGGCGGAAUGUGUGGUGUAGCGGUGAAAUGCUUAGAGAUCACGAAGAACCCCGAUUGCGAAGGCAGCCUGCCGCAGCGUUACUGACGUUGAAGCUCGAAAGCGCGGGUAGCGAACAGGAUUAGAUACCCUGGUAGUC